rnacentral:rRNA from 1 species
UACGGGGGGGGCAAGCGUUGUUCGGAAUUACUGGGCGUAAAGGGCGUGUAGGCGGCCAACUAAGUCCGACGUGAAAUCCCCAGGCUUAACCUGGGAACUGCGUCUGAUACUGGAAGGCUCGAGUUUGGGAGAGGGAUGCAGAAUUCCAGGUGUAGCGGUGAAAUGCGUAGAUAUCUGGAGGAAUACCGGUGGCGAAGGCGGCAUCCUGGACCAACACUGACGCUGAGGCGCGAAAGCUAGGGGAGCAAACGGG